AUUCUGUAUGCAACAACACCCUCUAGGUUUGCACAGUCUUUCUGGGCAUGAGCUUUGAAGCCCUGUGAGUCUCUGCUCGCUGCCAGCCAUCUGUAUAGGAAAAGGAACCGGCUAUAUUUAGAACUGCUUGCAUUCAUGUGUAGUCACCCACCAGGGGAGUCAUAGUCGCUCUCAAUACACAUCCUGCCUGUGUCAUUCACAGGCGUGUGCAGACUGCAUCUGAAGGAAGUCAUCCUAUACAAAACAAAGAGGUUGGGUUAAAAUAAGCUUUGAAAUACACAACCAUCAGCUGUAACGUCAGGACCUCUGACAGGUGAAGUGAGCAUCAUUGAUUUUCUCUUUACAGUGUCACCUGUCAGUAGGUGGGAUAUGUCAGGCAGCAGGCGAGCGUUUAGUCCUUGAGGCGGAAAAAGCGAGUGAGUGUACGGAUGUGAGCAACUUUCACAUGGACAAAACUGUGAAGAAACUUUUAGGAACUACUGAGUCUGAGCAUCUUUAAAAACGGCAGCUCGGUCCACAGGGAUCAGUACCUACCAAAAGUGGUUGAAAGUAGGAAAACCUGUGACAGGGUCAUGUGCAGACAAGGCUCACUCAUGCAUGUGAGGAGUGAAGGCUGGGCCAUGUGGUCCAUUAAAAACAGAGGAGCUCCUAGUGUUCAGACUGCUGAAAGGUGAGUGCUGCUGAGUAAUGUGUAAUGUGUAAUGACGCUCAGUAAGGUGUGGUCAAACUAUGUAAUUUAUUUUAUGUACACUGUACGAUUUUUGCACGUACACUCAUAAUUCGAUUUUGUGAUUUUGAGCAGUUUCUUAUUUGGAGUUUAGUCCCAAUUUGUGCCACAAGGGGGCUCAGUCACACUUCAUGUUACCUGUCUCAUGAAAUCGCCAGUUACCAACUAGUUCGCCAUCUUUAUAACAGAGAAUGUUUACUGUAGAGUUUGAAACACAAUGACGCCCCAAUGCUAAAUUGCAUUAGCUUAGUUUGUCUGGUAUCCAGUAGGCAAUAUUUUUUUGUUGUAGGACGGAAGGGUAAAGUCUUGCCUCCUUAACCUCUGACUGGCUAGAAAAGCUGGAGUCAGUAAGAGUCAGUAACUGUUUGUUUUCAUACUUUUUACAAAGUUUAAGGUAAAAAAAUGUAAUUAUGACUCAGCGAGCGUAGCCAGUUUCUAUGGGAUUUUCCAUUUCAACUAGUCGAGCUGGUAACCUGUUUACAACAGAACUUCGGCAAAAAAAACGAUCUUAAAGGUAGAAUAAAGCUGAAUAAUAUGGAUACUUUGCUUACUUAUGCGUUCAAAAGCAAAAGUCCUUAACCCUUUAAUGCCCGAAACCACAAAUUAUGGCCAGAAAAUUUACAUUUUUUUGGAGCUGAAAGGUUUAUUUUACUUACUACUGAAAACCACAAAAAUCAAAUUGUCUUUAAAAUUUAACAAAUAUAUUUAUUUAUCUCGUUUGAUACGUUAGGCAUUUUUGGAAACUGAUAAACCACAAAAGGACAUUUUUAUCUUUUAUCGGACUGUAUUCAGGUGUUUUUUUUAGUAAUUUUUUGAUCAUAUUGAUUUGAUAGAAGUAUCAUAAAAGUAUGGAUUAAAUACAAAAGGCAUUAGCGGGACAAGACAGCUCUGUAUGUAUUUGUGUUCUAUCCGUAUUAAACUGUCAGACUAUGACUAUGAAUGGAGUCUUGGUGACAGGAGAAACAGGAAGGACCCUGAUGGUUGAGCACACUGUAGCGAUGGAAAUAAAGAGAAAAAAUACAUUAGUUUUCAUUGUUGUUUCAGUCACCUGCAGGAUGUUGCAGCCUUUAAACUAAGCUUUCUAACAGCUGAAGAAACUGGACCAUUUCAAGGUGAUGACUUGGUUUCAAAAGUUCCCAGAUUUCAGUCCAACUGAGCAUCUUUGGAUGUGAAGACUUAAGUGUGAUCCACGGAGGCCCCUGCUCACCUAACCCCAGACACCACAGCACUCCUCCACAGGCCCAGAGGAGCCCAUGUCCCAUCAAGUUAGAGUUGUUUUGACCCUGACUGGAUAAGAAAGGGAGCAGCACAACAUCCAACAGGUGGUUAUUAUGUCACAGCUGAUCAGUGUAUAACUUUUUCACUUUAUAUCACUGUGUAAAACAACAACACGUUCAAGGUUCAAACAAAUAUGUCCAGAGUGCUUGUUAUUCAUAUCAACAUACUGCUGAAUUAUCUAAUAAUCCAAAUCUCUUCUCAGCAGGCCACAGGGUCGUUCAGUCAGUGAGAACCUCAGCGGCUCCCCGGGAAGCUAAUUAAAAUCCAUCCCAAUAACAGGCAGAGAAAAGAAGUGCCGACUUAUUGAAGAGAGAAUAAUCAAAGUGUGGGAUGUGAGGUGAAGGCGUGGAGGGAAGGCUGUUUAAUGAGGCAGAGACGGCCAGAGUCCAAGUUCAAAGAGGACAAAGCUGUUUGUUCAGAGUUGCACCAAAGCUCUUUCUGUUUUUCAUUACGUUUGUUUACUGUCUUGUAUUUUAUGUCAGGGAUUUUUCACACAACAGUAGUUCCCCUAAUAACCACCAUUUAUUUAUAACUCUAUAACUGCCAGUAGGCAAUGUAGCCGUCACAGUAAAAUUGAAUUCUUCUUACCAAAGAAGACAGAAACACAUGUCGCUCUGGGGCAAAGAUGGUCACUUAAUCUACAGAUCAGUUAUUCAAACAUCUGUGGACGCUUUCAUUGAAGUAGAUUCAACUUUGUCACAGAAAAUGUCCAGAUGGAAAGAUUUAAAGGCGGCUGAAUUAAGGAUUUUAACCAUGUCGAUGGAAAACACGCCACUGUUUUCUGUAAAUAGUCGAGGGCUGCAGGAUGUUUUAGAAAUUAGUGCUGCCAUUUUUUUUGUUUCUCUGCAUCAUUAAAAACUUUAUUGAAGUUAAUUUUACCAGAUAAGUGAGACUUGGCUUUAAUGACAAAAACUGGCACUGAAUCAUUAUCGUAAGAGAAAAGGUCACAAUAACAAGCCAGUAAGUCAUUAUAAUAAGAUGAAAAAUUAAAAUUAUGGAAUAAAAAGUCACAAUAUUGAAAAAGUUGUUCAUUAUAAUAAAAACAGAAUAAAAAUGUAAGAUAAAAAAGACAAAAUUAUUGGGAAGUAACACAAAGGUAUAGGAUAAAAAGUCAAAACAUCAAAGUCAAAGUCAAAAAUAUAAGAUAAGAAAUAGGAAACUGAUGGAUUUAUUAGAUUAAACACUUUGACCAUCUCCCAACCAAGAUCUUUUAUUGUGACAGAUUCUAAUAUUUUUUACUUUUUAAAUCAUAACGAUGACUUAAUUUUUGAGAAAAUUUUGUUUUAAUACCUGUCUUACUUUGUCAAGCAUUUUCUGGGUAUUUGUGACGGUACCAGUAACAGGUUUAGCGUGCAUGUUUAUAUUCUACGGUGGCGACACUAACUGGCUAAACCCACAGGAUCCGGCGUAUCAAUUCAGUGCAGAGCAGCACGAGCAGCAGCUGAAGUUUUCCGCGGUUACAGAGUAAAAUAUCUGGUUAAUUUUCAAAAUAAAAUAAAGUCAAUACAUUGAACUGUUCUUAAUUUGAUAAUGGGAGAGGCCAGAGUUGUGGGAUGUGGGUGUUUAUACACACCGCCGUUUACAUGCUCCGAUUGGCGGAUCUUAUUCUAUGACUCCCGGGGAACACUCAAGAGCUCUUGAGAUCUGGUCCAGUCUCCGGAGAAAUAUCAGUAAUCUUGCAAGCACUUCUGGAUCUGAUCUGUCUGCUGGUCCGGAGUGGAGCAGAGCCGUUCCUGAUCCUAUGGGUUUAGCCAGAGAGACUCUGCCUGCACUGCCUGACCCUCUGACAGGUCCUGCAUUGCUUCUAUCGCACAGUAGUGACAUUUAAACCGGAUAUCAUUCAGCCCUGAAAGAUUCUACAUGAGUGUAGCAUCUGAACCGAGGAAUCAGGAUUCUCAGCAUGUGAAGAAGUGAAGUGUUCUGAUUUUUAUUUGUAGUCUGUUUUUAGUCUUUCAAGUUUUAUUCUUAAUUAUUCAGAUGAUAAAUUUUUCCAAGGAGCAAUAAAUUGUUGUCAGAUCAGAGCCAAGUUGUCAUUCGGGUCUAGAUACAGACUGUUUUUCCUGCAGACAUAAACAGAAUAGAUCAAACUGCACUCUUUGCACUGCUAUAAUCACAAGUACAAUCCUGUGGACCAUCAUAUGCAUUGUUGUAGUUUUUCUUCCUCUUUAUUAAAAAUUGUGGCAUUAGAUCCACAUACUUAAACACUGAAGCUGUUUUUUUAUCAGCCAGACUUCCUCACAUCAAGUUUGGUCAGCUGUUUUGACCUGAAUUCAAAAGCAGAAUGUAAAGAGUUAAUCCAGCAGUUCCAACAUGAUUGACUCAUGUUUCCAACCUACAAACUAUACUUGUAUGUAUUUUUGUUUCUAUUGAAGCAGAGUGGAAUUCAUUGUCAUGCAAGUGUUUUGUUGUAAAUCCCCCAUUCGUUCUGGGUUUGAACAUGAAAACUGCGUGCAUUUUGGAUUCUUUAUGGCUAUAAAAAGCGAUGAGAGGGGCGUAAAGGUCAAAGUCAUUAAAUGUCUGCCCUCAAAUGUCACUGUGGUCGAACAUUGUGAAGUUGUGACCACUGUUGCUGCGUGUAGUUUUAUCACUUCCUCAAUCUGCUCCCUAAAGCCAGACCAUCAGAGUCCACAGUCACCUCUGCACCAGUUGUUCUCCGAGUUUCAUGGUUGCAGCUUUAUGUGCCUCCUUCCUUGGUUACCCCCCCUCUCGUUCUCCCGCUCUGGCCUAAGCCGUGACCCUCAGAGUCUUCUCCUCUGCCAUGUGAUGAGCGUUGUGAGGACUUGUGGGUGCAGCCACAUAAAUCAUUGAUCCCAGCUGCACUUUUGGAUCAACCCGAGGACAAGCGAGCUUUUGUAAAGUGUCUCUAACUGAUUCUUCAGGGUGACAGAAACACUGGUUGGCUUCUUCUCUAGAGCAUGCUCUCGCUGCAUCGAUUUUAUGCAACUGCUUACGAGUCACACGCGUUGGAAAAAGUGGCACAUAGCGAUUAGGGCAGUAUGGGAUAUCCGUUGUGAUUGAUUUUGUUCAUACAUAUUUUUUUUCCCAUCUAUGACCGACAUGAGGUUUAGAGUGUAAACAUGUAGCUGAAGGUCAUGAUUUCUUAGGCUAACAAGGAAUCUUUUCUCCAAUAAUUUCACAAGGAAACUGAGCAUUUUGGUAACAAUGGAGUUAUCACAUAUUUAAUUGUUCAAAAUUGGGUAUGGCUCUAAAUCUGCUCUUAAUUGGCUCAUUUGCAGGUAUAAUUUGCUCUAAAUUAAUGCAUAAUGGUUUUGUAAAUGUAUGCAAACAACACUGGCACACAGAGACAGCAUUUGCUCUGAUGUGCAAUUUGUGUUACAUUUACAGAGGUGUAACUUUUGGCAGUCAAUUUCGAUUUAGUCUCAGUAUUUGGACUUAAAUAACUCUUAGUUUUAGUCGUUUUUGCCCUAACUACUUUUUGUCUAGUCUUAGGGUGUUUUCACACCUGAAAGUCUGGACCAAGGUCCAACCAAGGUCCAUGUUUUUGUUACAUAAUAUACAUUUGGUUUGGUCUGUUUAGGUUUCACAUUGUCAUUAUUGCAAACAGACUAAAAGACCUUACAUGACGAACCUACGUGAUAUUGUCAUCAACUACAUGCUCAUUUGGCCGGUGG